rnacentral:tRNA from 1 species
GGAGGCGUACCCAAGAGGCCGAAGGGGGCAGGUUGCUAACCUGUUAGGUCGGGUUUCCCGGCGCUCGGGUUCGAAUCCCGACGCCUCCGCCA